UUGCAUCAUUGGACAUUGUCUUUUCAGCUCAAAGGUAUAUACGGUCAAGUGCGCUUGUUGUCAAAGAACCAUGUGGGAUCCAAUGUGCAAGGUUUCAGUGAGGGCAGUAACAAUGGUAUCAUCGCUUAUUACCUGUCUGAGUUUAAUGUGCCAGAGUCCCAAGUAUCUGCUGUGGACGAGGCCAUGGCAUCCCUGGAUGGGGUGGGAAAUGCAAGGAAAAGCCAGAGGGGCUUUGGUCGCAGGACAGACAGUAGCCUCACCUUUGACGGCAUGACGUCAGGGGCUGUGGAUGCUCGGUUAGCUAGCAGAAACCUCAAACGUGAGUAAA
rnacentral:lncRNA from 1 species